rnacentral:rRNA from 1 species
GGACUACCGGGGUAUCUAAUCCUGUUCGCUCCCCACGCUUUCGCUCCUCAGUGUCAGUAUCGGCCCAGAGUACCGCCUUCGCUACGGGUGUUCCUCCUGAUAUCUGCGCAUUUCACCGCUCCACCAGGAAUUCCGUACUCCUCUACCGAACUCUAGUCAUAGCAGUCUCGAAUGACCCCUCCAGGUUGAGCCUGGAGAUUUCACAUCCGACUUACCAAACCACCUACGAGCUCUUUACGCCCAAUAAAUCCGGACAACGCUCGCCCCCUACGUAUUACCGCGGCUGCUGGCAC